CAGUAGCCGCGGUAAUACGGAGGGUGCGAGCGUUAAUCGGAAUUACUGGGCGUAAAGCGUACGCAGGCGGUUUGUUAAGUCAGAUGUGAAAUCCCCGAGCUUAACUCGGGAACUGCAUUUGAAACUGGCAGGCUAGAGUCUCGUAGAGGGGGGUAGAAUUCCAGGUGUAGCGGUGAAAUGCGUAGAGAUCUGGAGGAAUACCGGUGGCGAAGGCGGCCCCCUGGACGAAGACUGACGCUCAGGUACGAAAGCGUGGGGAGCAAACAGGAUUAGAUACCCCUGUAGUCCCUGUCUCUUAUAU
rnacentral:rRNA from 1 species